rnacentral:rRNA from 1 species
AUUGAACGCUGGCGGCAGGCCUAACACAUGCAAGUCGAGCGGAUGAGAAGAGCUUGCUCUUCGAUUCAGCGGCGGACGGGUGAGUAAUGCCUAGGAAUCUGCCUGGUAGUGGGGGACAACGUUUCGAAAGGAACGCUAAUACCGCAUACGUCCUACGGGAGAAAGCAGGGGACCUUCGGGCCUUGCGCUAUCAGAUGAGCCUAGGUCGGAUUAGCUUGUUGGUGAGGUAAUGGCUCACCAAGGCGACGAUCCGUAACUGGUCUGAGAGGAUGAUCAGUCACACUGGAACUGAGACACGGUCCAGACUCCUACGGGAGGCAGCAGUGGGGAAUAUUGGACAAUGGGCGAAAGCCUGAUCCAGCCAUGCCGCGUGUGUGAAGAAGGUCUUCGGAUUGUAAAGCACUUUAAGUUGGGAGGAAGGGCAGCCAGCGAAUACCUGGUUGUUUUGACGUUACCGACAGAAUAAGCACCGGCUAACUCUGUGCCAGCCGCCGCGGUAA